UGAAAAACCGGGCCCUGGAGAUGACCUUCUGCAGCUUUCCAGUUAUCAUUUCUCUAUUGCUAAACUAGGUUAGAGUAGACAUCAAUUGGUAUGUACUGGCAAAUCCAUCAUGUCGUGGAGUUUUGGGAUAAAAUCCCAAAGUACAAAAUCUUCAUUAUCAUGGGAGGAGUAUCACCAAAGCAAGACCAUCUUUUCGAAGUGUUUGGAUGUGGUUAAAUGUAUUGCUCAUUGUGGAGACUGAGUGCAGCCUGCUGCAGCUGCUGAACAGGCUCUUUGGCACACAGAAGUCCAUAUUCUGCUCCAUCAACACAUAAUUUUCUGCUUGACAGUUUAUGGCUGUCUACUUUGUUCUGUUUCUUCAUUGUUUGUGAUUCUUGAUAUAUUUUAACACACAUGUCUGGAAAUUAAAAUGUAAUGGAAAUAA